AGAACGAACGCUGGCGGCAGGCCUAACACAUGCAAGUCGAACGCUCCGCAAGGGGAGUGGCAGACGGGUGAGUAACACGUGGGAACAUACCCUUCGGUUCGGAAUAACUCAGGGAAACUUGAGCUAAUACCGGAUACGUCCUGGCGGAGAAAGAUUUAUCGCCGAAGGAUUGGCCCGCGUCCGAUUAGCUAGUUGGUGAGGUAACGGCUCACCAAGGCGACGAUCGGUAGCUGGUCUGAGAGGAUGAUCAGCCACACUGGGACUGAGACACGGCCCAGACUCCUACGGGAGGCAGCAGUGGGGAAUAUUGGACAAUGGGCGCAAGCCUGAUCCAGCCAUGCCGCGUGAGUGAUGAAGGCCCUAGGGUUGUAAAGCUCUUUCGUCAGGGACGAUAAUGACGGUACCUGAAGAGAAGCCCGGCUAACUUCGCGCCAGCAGCCGC
rnacentral:rRNA from 1 species